GGAGACAGAGGUGAGGAGUCAUCAACACAUGAGGUCAAAGGUCAGUCAGUACAGCAGGAAGAAGGAAAAUCUACAGUCAUACUUCAUUCAUUCAUUACAACAUCUGAUCCUGUUCAUGAUCCUGAUUAUUACAGUGAAAGCUCUUCUUCUGAUGCUGGUUGCCUUCUGUUUUCUGUCCCGAUGACCCCACACUGCUUCAACAAGUUUGAGAUCCUCUGGAGAGGUCAAUCCAUGACUGAUUGUGUGCAAUGUAUGCACUUCUAUUGAGCUGUACUUUUAAUGCUAAAGAAGCUGCCAGUCUGAUUUUUUUUUCCAGAUUUUAUUUCAUAGUGUACAAAAUCUGAAGGUAUCUGAAUCGGCAUUCAUAAUUGCAUCAAUUUUGACUGGCUGAAAUACAUCCCCAAACUAGGACUCGACAUUUACAAAUGAUUUAUAGAUGACUGUAGAGACUCGCUGUUGUACCACUCUCCUUACCUCUUUUUUAUAUACAGAUCAUGAAUUGAACUAAAUGUUUUAAAUUUGGUAUAAUAACUCUAUAAGACCUAUUGCUACUGCAUCCCAUUUCUUGUGAAGCAGGGGAAGUGAGUUCAUUCAAAGAUAUGGUGAGGUCAGUAAUUCAAGAGGGACUCAGAGUAGAGUUGCUAAUCCUACACAUCGAAAGGAGACAGUUGAGGUGGUUCGGGCAUCUGAUUAGGAUGACUCCUGGACGCAACACCGCCUACUGGUGUUGGCCAGAGGGGCCGAUGGCGCGAUAUGGCAGCCUCGCUUCUGUCAGUCUGCCCCAGGGCAGCUGUGGCUACAACUGUGGUUUGCCUGUGUAGCCGGAGGGGCUACUUGCUUUUUCUUUCUCUCUCGCCCCCACUGGCGCUACUGCUUUCUCUCUCUCUCUCUCCUGUGCUUGCUCCCGCUGCGCGCUUACGUCAACUAGGAGCCCACCUGUAUAUUGAUUACAGGGCGGCGUUUACCUGUAUAAAGAGCAGCCGGGUUCUUUUGUUGGAUUAUUUCCUCCCGAGCUUCUGGUACGCUAUAGCGGUAGACGCUGGCUUGUGGUUAAAUUACUGAGGCGAUCGGGUCGUGCGAUUGCUACAGCCGUGGUGAGGAGACGCGUGAGUGCAUCCGCCGUGCAAUACAGCGCCUCCAAGUUCUGGGCGAACUGAGGAUCUACCAGCGGCCGUGGGACCUUAGGUGGCGGGUCGUUUUCCACACUUCUUUUGUUGUACAGCACCAGGUGAAUAGACUAUAGUAGGUUUUUUUGUGUGGUUUUCUUUUGGUCCACCGCUGCUGGUAAGUCCCAGUUGUAUUUAUUUUUAUUGUAAUUUGGGACACCG